UCUCUUUUCAAACCUGGAAUAACCCGGUUCAGUGUGGGGGGUGAUUUAGACUCACAGUGGUCCCAGUUGGGUGCUGUCCUGGCUGCUGGGGCAACGGGGGCGGGGCGAGAAACCUCAGUGGGGUGUAGACCGUGAGCUCCCGACAUCAGCAUUCACACUACCGUUUGUACCCACAAAGGCUGACACUGUGGUAGGCAGAUGCUUCUAGAACCUUAACCGAAGUCCGUUUACCUUCCCAUAACGGACACCCUCCCCCAAAAGCACGAACGUCCCAUACUGUCCAAGUUCACGCUCCUCGGAGCCUUGAUUCUGUGCCAACCCUGGAUGUGCUUGGAAUGACCCUGGUUUUACCCACCAGGAAGCUAAAGCUCAGAGGAGUUGAGUAACCGGCCCAAGAUGGCACAGACCCCCACCCCAUCCUGCCGACUCCAAAACCCAAGUUGCUCUUUACAACUGCCACAGAUGGAAUGUUCCGGAAUGUUCCGAGUCCCUCCCGUCAAGUUUGUAUGUUGUAACCCAAACCCCAGUGUGAUGGUAAUUGCAGGCGAGGCCUUUGGGAAGUGACUAGGUCAUGAAGGUGGAGCCCUUGUGAGGGGAUUUCUGGCCUGAUGAAGGGGACCCCAGAGACUUCCUGCCCGCCUUCCUCCAUGUGCGGACACAGCAGGACGACCUCAUCAGGGACCCAAGGAGCAGCUCUCACCAGUCACAGAGCCUGCUGCUACCCUGAUCUUGGACCUACAGCCUCCAGAACUGUGAGAAAUCAGUGUUCACUGCGCAGGGACUAGAAGUUGCCAUCCAAAGGCGUUCAGAGGACCACCUGUGGAUUUCUUGGUUUCUCAGGAUGGGACCUCCGUGCUCUCUAAAUAUGGAGAGAGAGAGCAGGAGAGGAG